GACGAACGCUGGCGGCGUGCUUAACACAUGCAAGUCGAACGGACCCAAGCUUUAAGUUUACUUAGAGCUGACGGUUAGUGGCGGACGGGUGAGUAACACGUGGAUAAUCUGCCUAUGACACAGGAAUAACACUGUGAAAACGGUGCUAAUACCAGAUACACUUAUCGGGUCGCAUGUCCUGAUAAGGAAAGGAGCAAUCCGGUCAUAGAUGAGUCCGCGGCUGAUUAGCUAGUUGGUAGGGUAAAGGCCUACCAAGGCGAUGAUCAGUAGCCGGCCUGAGAGGGUGGACGGCCACACUGGGACUGAGACACGGCCCAGACUCCUACGGGAGGCAGCAGUGGGGAAUAUUGCGCAAUGGGGGAAACCCUGACGCAGCGACGCCGCGUGAGCGAAGAAGGCCUUAGGGUUGUAAAGCUCUGUUGUAAGGGAAGAAAGGCAACCGGAGUAACAUGCUGGUUGUAUGACGGUACCUUACGAGGAAGCCCCGGCUAACUACGUG
rnacentral:rRNA from 1 species